rnacentral:rRNA from 1 species
UACGUAGGGGUCGAGCGUUGUCCGGAGUUACUGGGUGUAAAGCGUGUGCAGGCGGCGCAUCGCGCCCGGCGUGAAAGCCCCCGGCUCAACCGGGGAGGGUCGUCGGGGACGGGUGCGCUUGAGGGUAUCAGGGGCAGGUAGAAUUCCCGGUGUAGUGGUGAAAUGCGUAGAGAUCGGGAGGAAUACCCGUGGCGAAGGCGGCCUGCUGGGAUACACCUGACGCUGAGACACGAAGGCGUGGGGAGCGAACGGG